GAUGAACGCUAGCGGGAGGCCUAACACAUGCAAGCCGAGCGGUAGAGUUCCUUCGGGAACUUGAGAGCGGCGUACGGGUGCGUAACACGUGUGCAACCUACCUUUAUCUGGGUGAUAGCCUUUCGAAAGGAAGAUUAAUACCCCAUAAUAUAUUGAAUGGCAUCAUUUAAUAUUUAAAACUCUGGUGGAUAGAGAUGGGCACGCGCAAGAUUAGAUAGUUGGUGAGGUAACGGCUCACCAAGUCUGUGAUCUUUAGGGGUCCUGAGAGGGAGAUCCCCCACACUGGUACUGAGACACGGACCAGACUCCUACGGGAGGCAGCAGUGAGGAAUAUUGGACAAUGGGUGAGAGCCUGAUACAGCCAUCCCGCGUGAAGGAUGACGGUCCUAUGGAUUGUAAACUUCUUUUGUACAGGAAUAAACCUAUUUACGUGUAAAUAGCUGAAGGUACUGUACGAAUAAGCACCGGCUAACUCCGCGCCAGCCGCCGCCGUAA
rnacentral:rRNA from 1 species